rnacentral:rRNA from 1 species
CCUGCCGGACCCCACUGCUAUCGGAAUAGGACUAAGACAUGCUAGUCGAGCGCCUCCCAGCCACGACGGAGGCGCGGCGCACAGCUCAGUAACACGUGGCUAACCUGCCCUCGGGACGGGAAUACCCCCGGGAAACUGGGGCUAAUCCUCGAUAGGUGAAGAACUCUGGAAUGAGUCUCCGCCCAAAAGACGCUUAAAUCAUGCUUUUAGGCGCCGCCCAAGGAUGGGACCGCGACCGAUCAGGUAGUUGGUGAGGCAACGGCUCACCAAGCCUUUAACCGGUGCGGGCCGUGGGAGCGGGAGCCCGGAGAUGGGCACUGAGACAAGGGCCCAGGCCCUACGGGGCGCAGCAGUCGCGAAAACUUCACAAUAAGCGAAAGCUUGACGGGGUCAUCUCGAGUCCCAUCUGCUGAGGAUGGCUUUUACCCAGUAUAGAUAGCUGKGGGAAUAAGGAGAGGGCAAGUCUGGUGUCAGCCGCCGCGGUAAUAUCAUCUCUUCGAGUUGUGGGUACGUUUAUUGAGCCUGAAGCAUCCGUAGCCGGCUGUGUAAGUCCUCUGUUAAAUCCAGCGACUAAUCGUUGGCCUGCGGGGGAUACUGCUCGGCUAGGGGGCGGGAGAGGCCGUCGGUAUUCUUGGGGUAGGGGUGAAAUCCUAUAAUCCCAGGAGGACCACCAGUGGCGAAACCUGUCCGCUAGAACGCGCCCGACGGUGAGGGAUGAAAGCUGGGGGGAGCGAACCGGAUUAGAUACCCGGGUAGUCCCAGCUGUAAACGAUGCAGGCUAGGUGUUAGGGCGGCUACGUGCCGCUCUAGUGCCGCAGGGAAGCUGUUAAGCCUGCCGCUUGGGGAGUACGGCCGCAAGGCUGAAACUUAAAGGAAUUGGCGGGAAGGGCGAAUU